CCAUGCAGCUGAGUUUUUAGAAAUCAUCAACUUUACACAGGGAGGAAAACAAUGGAAGACAUUUACAACCCAAAUGUGCAUUUGCAUACCAUUUAGAACUUGCAUUACAAGCAAAGGGCCAGCAUAAUGUCAUUUUAUCAGUUUGGACAUCAACCCAGGAUUUCUGCCAACCCAGGAUUUCUGCAGAACAAUCUCUGGUUUCUCAUUUCGGAAAGCGUUACCUUGCUCUAAGAAAGCCAGGAGAUAUGAAGAUGUAUGAUCUACCAUGCAAUGCUCUGAAGCAUGCUACGAUGAUGAGGGUGACAUACAAUUUGGAGCAUUCUUGGAGGAAGCACAGUCACAUCCUCUUACGGCACCAAGCACCAGUGCAGACACUGGCACCUUGGCAGGGAUUAGCGCUUCAGAGCAAAGGCAUUCACAAUCUGCUGAGGACACUUCACAGUCGCAUGUGCAGCUGCCAGACAGCGUGGUGGAGCAGGAUGUGGGUAGUCGGUGGAGUAUCUGAGAUGAUCCCGAGACCAAUUCCAAAUCGGAUGAUGAGCCUCUGGAGUUGUCUGUAAGGCGACAGACGCUGAAGAUCCAGCACAAGAUAUACACAAGAAAAGGGAUUAUAAAGCCAGCUGCAAACUUGAUCCAUGUGUGCUACUCCUGGUGUUCUGGUUCUGGUGUGCUAGUGUGUGCUGUGAAGGUCACAGCAGAAGAACAGCAACUAGGCAUUGCUGCAGCUUGCAAGUAAAAAGUCUCUCUCUGUUGCUGCAGGCAAGUCACAAGUCAGCAAAGCCACAGUCAAAAAGGAAACAGGCCAACAACUUUGCUAAUCUGCAGAACCAAGUGUCUCCAAACCAACUGCUCAAUUGCCAAAGUCAGCUCUACCGCAAUUACCCAACUUCACAGCCACAACAUUUCACCAUCUACUCCUCAAGGACAAGCCAAAGACUGAUUCACAUAUUUUUGAAGAACUUUUAUUUUUGGACUCAACUUCUCUUUUCUAAUCUGUGUGCA